rnacentral:misc_RNA from 1 species
UGGCUCUGGCAUCGAUGAAGAACGCAGCGAAAUGCGAUAAGUAAUGCGAAUUGCAGAUCUCAGUGAGUCAUCGAAUCUUUGAACGCACAUUGCGCCCUCUAGUAUUCUGGAGGGCAUGCCUGUUCGAGCGUCACUACAACACUCAAGCUCUGCUUGGCGUUGGAGCCUUAUAGCAGGAUAUUCUUGCUAUAAGCCCUUAAAAUCAGUGGCAGGACCGGCUGGUAGCCCGGGCGAAGUAACAAUUACAACGCCUAGGGAUCUCUAGCUGGACCCUAGCCUUUUGAAAAACCGAGUAUGCGUAGUAAAGUAUGCGUCUCUCUUUAGUGUUGACCUCGGAUCAGGUAGGAAUACCCGCUGA